rnacentral:rRNA from 1 species
UACGUAGGGUCCGAGCGUUGUCCGGAAUUAUUGGGCGGAAAGAGCUCGUAGGCGGUCUGUUGCGUCGGCUGUGAAAACCCGGGGCUCAACUCCGGGCCUGCAGUCGAUACGGGCAGACUAGAGUUCGGUAGGGGAGACUGGAAUUCCUGGUGUAGCGGUGAAAUGCGCAGAUAUCAGGAGGAACACCGGUGGCGAAGGCGGGUCUCUGGGCCGAAACUGACGCUGAGGAGCGAAAGCGUGGGGAGCGAACAGG